rnacentral:rRNA from 1 species
AGAGUUUGAUUAUGGCUCAGAACGUACGCUGGCGGCACGCCUAACACAUGCAAGUCGAACGCAGUAGCAAUACUGAGUGGCAAACGGGUGAGUAUAAUGUGGGAAUCUGCCUUUUGGUUUGGAAUAACACGGGGAAACUUGUGCUAAUACCGAAUAAGCCCUUACGGGGAAAGUUUUAAUGCCGAAAGAUGAGCCCGCACUUGAUUAGCUAGUUGGUAAGGUAAAAGCUUACCAAGGCAACGAUCAAUAGCUGUUCUUAGAGGAAGACCAGCCACAUUGGGACUGAGACACGGCCCAGACUCCUACGGGAGGCAGCAGUGGGGAAUCUUGCACAAUGGGGGAAACCCUGAUGCAGCGAUGCCGCGUGAGUGAAGAAGGCCUUUGGGUUGUAAAACUCUUUCGUCGGGGAAGAAAAUGACUGUACCCGAAUAAGAAGGUCCGGCUAACUUCGUGCCAGCAGCCGCGGUAAUACGAAGGGACCUAGCGUAGUUCGGAAUUACUGGGCUUAAAGAGCUCGUAGGUGGUUAAAAAAGUUGAUGGUGAAAUCCCAAGGCUCAACCUUGGAACUGCCAUCAAAACUUUUUAGCUAGAGUGUGAUAGAGGUAAGUGGAAUUUCUAGUGUAGAGGUGAAAUUCGUAGAUAUUAGAAAGAACACCAAAUGCGAAGGCAACUUACUGGGUCACUACUGACACUGAGGAGCGAAAGCAUGGGGUAGCGAAGAGGAUUAGAUACCCUCGUAGUCCAUGCCGUAAACGAUGUGUGCUAGACGUUGGAAAUAUAUUUUU